UGAUCCUGGCUCAGGACGAACGCUGGCGGCGUGCCUAAUACAUGCAAGUCGAGCGGACAGAUGGGAGCUUGCUCCCUGAUGUUAGCGGCGGACGGGUGAGUAACACGUGGGUAACCUGCCUGUAAGACUGGGAUAACUCCGGGAAACCGGGGCUAAUACCGGAUGCUUGUUUGAACCGCAUGGUUCAAACAUAAAAGGUGGCUUCGGCUACCACUUACAGAUGGACCCGCGGCGCAUUAGCUAGUUGGUGAGGUAACGGCUCACCAAGGCAACGAUGCGUAGCCGACCUGAGAGGGUGAUCGGCCACACUGGGACUGAGACACGGCCCAGACUCCUACGGGAGGCAGCAGUAGGGAAUCUUCCGCAAUGGACGAAAGUCUGACGGAGCAACGCCGCGUGAGUGAUGAAGGUUUUCGGAUCGUAAAGCUCUGUUGUUAGGGAAGAACAAGUACCGUUCGAAUAGGGCGGUACCUUGACGG
rnacentral:rRNA from 1 species